rnacentral:rRNA from 1 species
CUACGGGUCGCUCCAGUGAGGAAUCUUGCGCAAUGGGGGAAACCCUGACGCAGCGACGCCGCGUGGGUGAUGAAGGCCUUCGGGUCGUAAAGCCCUGUCGAGAGGGAAGAAUUGCAUUUAGGUUAAUAGCCUAAUUGUUUGACGGUACCUCCAAAGGAAGCACCGGCUAACCCCGUGCCAGCAGCCGCGGUAAUACGGAGGGUGCAAGCGUUGUUCGGAAUCACUGGGCGUAAAGGGCGUGUAGGCGGCUGAGUAAGUCAGGUGUGAAAUCCCUCGGCUCAACCGAGGAAGUGCAUUUGAUACUGCUCAUCUUGAGUACUGGAGAGGGAGAUGGAAUUCCCGGUGUAGAGGUGAUAUUCGUAGAUAUCGGGAGGAACACCAGUGGCGAAGGCGAUCUCCUGGACAGAUACUGACGCUAAGGCGCGAAAGCGUGGGGAGCAAACAGGAUUAGAUACCCCCGUAGUC